CCCUUCGAUACUCUGGGCGGCACGCGCGCUACAAUGGGAAGAGGAAAGUGUUACGUGCUCGAGAGAGCUAGUGAAUCAUGAAUAUAAGGUCGUGAGUGGGAUAGUUCAUUGCAAUUACGAACUUGAACAAGGAAUUCCUUGUAGGUGCACUGCAUCAUAGUGCGCCGAAUACGUCCCUGCCGUUUGUACACACCGCCCGUCGCACCUACCGAUUGGAUGGUCCGGUGAAGCCUCGGGAUUGUGGUUCUUGCCGCUUUAUUGUGGCGUGACCGCGAGAACUUGUCUAAACCUUAUCAUCUAGAGGAAGGUGAAGUCGUAACA
rnacentral:rRNA from 1 species